rnacentral:rRNA from 1 species
AGUGAACGCUGGCGGCAGGCCUAACACAUGCAAGUCGAGCGGAUGAAGGGAGCUUGCUCCUUGAUUCAGCGGCGGACGGGUGAGUAAGUCCUAGGAAUCUGCCUGGUAGUGGUUGAUAACGUCCGGAAACGGGCGCUAAUACCGCAUACGUCCUGAGGGAGUAAGGGGGGGAUCUUCGGACCUCACGCUAUCAGAUGAGCCUAGGUCGGAUUAGCUAGUUGGUGGGGUAAAGGCCUACCAAGGCGACGAUCCGUAACUGGUCUGAGAGGAUGAUCAGUCACACUGGAACUGAGACACGGUCCAGACUCCUACGGGAGGCAGCAGUGGGGAAUAUUGGACAAUGGGCGAAAGCCUGAUCCAGCCAUGCCGCGUGUGUGAAGAAGGUCUUCGGAUUGUAAAGCCCUUUAAGUUGGGAGGAAGGGCAGUAAGUUAAUACCUUGCUGUUUUGACGUUACCAACAGAAUAAGCACCGGCUAACUUCGUG